rnacentral:rRNA from 1 species
GUGCCAGCCGCCGCGGUAAUACGGAGGGUCCGAGCGUUAUCCGGAAUCAUUGGGUUUAAAGGGUCCGUAGGCGGGCCUGUAAGUCAGGGGUGAAAGUUUGUGGCUCAACCAUAAAAUUGCCUUUGAUACUGCAGGUCUUGAGUCAUGGUGGGGUUGCCGGAACAUGUGGUGUAGCGGUGAAAUGCAUAGAUAUCACAUAGAACACCGAUCGCGAAGGCAGGUGACCAACCAUGUACUGACGCUGAUGGACGAAAGCGUGGGUAGCGAACGGGAUUAGAUACCCCGGUAGUCCACGCCGUAAACGAUGGAUACUAGCUGUGGGGACUUCGGUCUCCGUGGCCAAGCGAAAGUGAUAAGUAUCCCACCUGGGGAGUACGUUCGCAAGAAUGAAACUUAAAUGAAUUGACGGGG